AGCAAUUAAAGGAGACCUAUAUAAGUGGAAAACCAUACCAGUUUCAUGAACAACAAUACUUAACAUUGUUAGGAUAGCAAUAGUCCUCAUUGAUCUACAGUUGAAAUGCAAGGUGUAUAAAAAUACAAGAUGCUGUUUUUGGCAGAAAUGAACUAACUGAUCCUAAAAUUCAUGUGGAAUUGCAAUGGACCCUGAAUGUCCGAAAAAAAAAAAAAAAGUCUGGGAAAAGAACGAAGUAGAAGAACUCACAGUUUCUGAUUUCAAAACUUACAACACAACACCUCUACAAAACUACAGUAAUCACAACCUUAUAGUCCUGCCAUAAGCAUAGAAAUAUACAGUGGUAGAACAGAACAAGGGUCCAGAAAUCAGCCCAUACAUCAAUGGAAAGCUGAUUUUUAUAAGGAUGCCACAAUCAUUCAAUAGGGAAAAAGUCUUUUCAACCAAUGGUUCUGGAACAACUGAAUAUCCACAUGUGAAGAAUGCAUUUGGCCCCUAUCUCAUACUAUAUAGAAAAAUUAACUCAAAAUGGAUCAAAGAACUAAAUGUGGGAUCUACAACCAGAAAAUUAUUUAAAAGAGUGCUCACUUCGGGAGCACAUAUAUUAAAAUUGGAACGAUGCAGAGAAGAUUAGCAUGGCCCUUGAGCAAGGAUGACACGAUAAUUUGUGAAACAUUCUGUAUUUUGGGGAUUUUUGGAGCAGGGACAGGGAAUAAGAGCUUGCUCUGUUUUUACUACUAUUAUUAUUUUUUAAAUAAUAAAAGUUUUUAAAAAAUUCUUUAAAAGGAGCAUAAAUGUAAAUAAUUAUGAUUGUGGAUUAGGCAACAAUUUCUCAAGUGUGAUACCCAAUGCUGAAGCAACAAAAGAAAAAACACAUGAAUUGGACUUAAUUAAAAGUAAAAAUAUUUGUGCCUCAAAAAAUAUUAUCAACAAAGUGAAAAUACGACCCAUAUAGAGGGAGAAAAUGUUUGCAAAUUCUAAGUCUCAUAAGACUCUACUAUGAGAAUACAUAAAGAAAUCUCUCAACUCAAACACAAAAAGAAAAACAGCCCUGUAUAAAAUGGGUGGAGGGGCCAGGCACAGUGUCUUAUGCCUGUAAUCCCAGCACUUUGGGAGGCCAAAGCCAGUGGAUCACCUGAGUUCAGGAGUUUAAGACCAGCCUGACCAACAUGGAGAAAUCCUGUCUCUACUAAAAAUACAGAAUUAGCCGGGUAUGGCGGCGCACACCUGUAAUCCCAGCUACUUGAGAGGCUGAGGCAGAAGAAUCGCUUG
rnacentral:lncRNA from 10 species